rnacentral:tRNA from 1 species
CCAAGCCUCGGGGUGAGGUAUCACGCCAAAGUGCAAAUUUGGAGGAACACCUUAAGGGUGUCGGGGCUUCUCCCGUUU